UACGAAGGGGGCUAGCGUUGCUCGGAAUUACUGGGCGUAAAGCGCACGUAGGCGGUCUUUUAAGUCGGGGGUGAAAUCCUGGAGCUCAACUCCAGAACUGCCUUCGAUACUGGAAGACUCGAGUCCGGGAGAGGUGAGUGGAACUGCGAGUGUAGAGGUGAAAUUCGUAGAUAUUCGCAAGAACACCAGUGGCGAAGGCGGCUCACUGGCCCGGUACUGACGCUGAGG
rnacentral:rRNA from 1 species